CACGUAGGGCGCAAGCGUUGUCCGAAUUAUUGGGCGUAAAGAGCUCGUAGGCGGUCUGUUGCGUCCGCUGUGAAAACUCGGGGCCUAACCCCGAGCCUGCAGUGGAUACGGGCAGACUAGAGGUAGGUAGGGGAGAAUGGAAUUCCCGGUGUAGCGGUGAAAUGCGCAGAUAUCGGGAGGAACACCGGUGGCGAAGGCGGUUCUCUGGGCCUUACCUGACGCUGAGGAGCGAAAGCGUGGGGAGCGAACAGG
rnacentral:rRNA from 1 species